rnacentral:lncRNA from 1 species
CCGGGGCUGGCACGUUACCAGGGAAUUGUGCGCGUGCACACAGACUUGGUGAAACUUCAAUCAAAACCACAUGGACGCUAAACUUAAAAUGUUUUGUCUCAUGUGAGGAUCAAGCAAAAAACAAGAAGAGACAAAGGAAGAGACAUCACGUGGAGGCUUGGUUCAAGUAGCAGGACAUAUACUGUUCGAGAACAUGGAGCGGCGCCAGAAUCAUUUUGUGCUGGUAUUCGCUCGUAUCGCGUUGCUCAUUAGACGCGCCUGAACGGCUGCCCCCGCGGUCCGAUCUACAUCAUCAUAUUGGUAUCGCAUCCGCUCGUUCAAGCCGCCCGACGGACGCACGCGAACCGCCGUCCAUGUGGCCUAGAUUAUAUUAAAUGUCAAAAAAAAUUUGACACUCA